CCCCCCCCCCCCCCCUUUACCUCCAUGACUAGCAUGGCAGAGCCACUAGCAGUGGGAAGAGUAAUAGGAGAUGUCUUGGAUGCCUUCAACCCAAGUGUUAAAUUGCAAGUUACUUACAGUACCAACAAGCAAGUCUACAAUGGCCAUGAGUUCAUGCCAUCUGCUGUAUCAGCAAAACCUAGGGUUGAGAUCGGCGGUGAUGACAUGAGAGCUUGUUAUACAUUAAUCAUGACAGACCCAGACGCCCCAAGCCCUAGUAACCCACACUUGAGAGAGCACCUUCACUGGAUUGUAACGGACAUUCCCGGAACUACCAACGCAUCUUUUGGAAAGGAACUAAUCAGCUACGAGGCCCCCAGGCCUUUCAUGGGCAUCCACAGGUAUGUGUUCGUUCUUUUCAAGCAGAAAGGCAGGCAGACCGUGCACACUCCAAGUUCAAGAGAUCACUUCAAAACAAGAAGCUUCGCCGAGGAAAACGGCCUUGGCCUCCCUGUCGCUGCAGUCUACUUCAACGCUCAGAGGGAAACAGCUGCUAGAAGGAGAUGAUAUUAAUCAGCAACUAAGUUGUUAAAAAUAAGUAAGUAAUAGAGUGUGGAUUGCGUAUGCUUUAACGUUUCCAUUGGCGAUCAGGGUUCAAAGCUAUUUACGCCAGUAUCAUGGCUCUGGUUGGGAGCGAGAGUUUCAGCUUUUUUUGGUGGAGCCAGGAAAGCCACGGCGGCUCCCAGGGUACGAAAACAGCCUCCGGCAGGCUCGAAGGAACGGGAUGUUACUAGCCUUGGCUUUCUGAGAUGCUGCGUACUGUUGAUGUUGAUGUUAUAUUUUAUGAAAGGAGGUCAAUCUGUUGUUGGGAGGCCAAAGUGACACUAGCCGUUUGCCACUGGCCGAGGGGGGAACGACGGAGCCGGAAGUUGUGCCUAUGAUAUCCAUAUUGGCGCACACAUGCUUGCGAUGCUAGAAGUCAUCCCAGGUUUCCGUCAACUUAUUGAGUGGAAAGGAAACAGCCCAUUCUCCACGACCAAAAAAAUAGCACAAACAGAGUUAGCGAGGACAUUCAAUGGCAUCAUGUCCAAGAGUUUCUGCUGCAAAUCUGAUCAUAAUAUAGCUGGCUGAAAUCUGAGGGUUAUUGGAUUUAGAAAUGUAAAUCCUGCUCCUUGACAAAACUCUGUUCCAGGUUUGCUGUACUCAAUGUUGUAUUGGGAGCCCAUUUUGACUUCAUGUGGAUCUAAUGAGAUGGAUAAAGAUAAAUGUUCCUCUCAUGCAUGGGACCAGAAACUGCGGUAUGUUCCUGUCAUUCUUGCUGACCCUGGCGAAGAUGUGUGUCGACCCGUUUUUGGCACAACCACACCAAGAGACUACCAACAGACUGCUUAGUACCUACCCCCUGUUAUUCUCAAAGCUGAAAUCUUAUUUCGGCCAUGUUAGCGGGCUGCUCAAAAUAAAAUUGCUAGAACUCUGGAAUGCAUGAAGAGGUUGCAUAUAGUUAUUGACACGAACUAGUCCU